UACGGGGGGGCAAGCGUUGUUCGGGAUUACUGGGCGUAAAGGGCUCGUAGGCGGCCAACUAAGUCAGACGUGAAAUCCCCAGGCUCAACCUGGGAACUGCGUCUGAUACUGGAUGGCUUGAAUCCGGGAGAGGGAUGCAGAAUUCCAGGUGUAGCGGUGAAAUGCGUAGAUAUCUGGAGGAAUACCGGUGGCGAAGGCGGCAUCCUGGACCGGCAUUGACGCUGAGGAGCGAAAGCUAGGGGAGCAAACGGG
rnacentral:rRNA from 1 species